GCCAGAGCUCAGUAGGACAGCAUCUGCUUUGCAUGCAAAAGGUCCUGGAUCCAAUCCAGGUAGAGGCA